rnacentral:rRNA from 1 species
AGUGAACGCUGGCGGUAGGCCUAACACAUGCAAGUCGAACGGCAGCACAGUAAGAGCUUGCUCUUCCGGUUGGCGAGUGGCGGACGGGUUAGGAAUACAUCGGAAUCUACUUUUUCGUGGGGGAUAACGUAGGGAAACUUACGCUAAUACCGCAUACGACCUACGGGUUAAAGCAGGGGAUCUUCGGACCUUGCGCGCUUGAAUGAGCCGAUGUCGGAUUAGCUAGUUGGCGGGGUAAAGGCCCACCAAGGCGACGAUCCGUAGCUGGUCUGAGAGGAUGAUAGGAUACACAGGAACAGAGACACGGUCAAGAGGCCUAGAGGAGGAAGCGGGGGGGAAGAGGGGAAAAUGGGGGAAAGCGCGAUAGAGUCACACCGCGUGGGUGAGGGAGGGAUGCGGGUUGUAGAGCUGUAAUGUUGGGUAAGAAGAGCAGAAGGCUAAGAACCGGCUGGGUUGACGGUACCGAGAGAAUAAGCACCGGCUAACUCCGUG